rnacentral:tRNA from 1 species
GCGUUCGUAGCUCAGUUGGUAGAGCAACUGACUCUUAAUCAGUGGGUCCAAGGUUCGAAUCCUUGCGAGCGCACCA